CUAUGUAUCACGCUAUCGCGCGUGGAGUUCACGUGUUCUAUUACUAUUUUAACUAUAGACUGAGGUAAAGUCUCCGACACACUCCCCCAUGUAUGUUCUGUCCGAGACAUACAUGCACUCUCAGACUUUAUAACGCAAAUGUAAACACUAAAUAAUGUAAUUAUAGUCAUCAGUUCCAACUUUACUAUCAGUAUCAACUUUGAUUAUCGUUCUAGUCCGACUGUUCGUUCUCGGCAAGUUCUCUAAUAGCAACUCUCGCAGCUUCUGCAGCGGCUCUCUUUGGUCUUGGGUGGAAGUCUGUGGCAUCAGGGUUCAGUUGUGGGUUGUUGUUUAAAUCGCAAGACAAUUCAAGGGGAAAUAAAUGUUGGACUGCUCUCUCCAAUGUACCCUUGCCUGUUUUCACCACUGCUCCCCGUACAACUCCGUCCUUUCCCGUAAUUAAUCUUGUCACAACAGCAGUUCUCCACGUAUUCCUUGGUUUGUUUUCUUCUCGAACAAUCACGACUUCUCCGAUCUUCGGAUGCACAGCAUUCUUGUUUCCAGUUUGGCGGUGUUGUUCACG